AACUGUGAUAUAUUGUUGCCCCUUUAGGUUUCUUUCGCCAUCAGGCACACCCGAGGAUCUGUUAGUGGCGGCAGUCUUGCGUAUUUUAUCCCAGCUCUCAGCUCUCUAUAGGGCGCACAUCUCAGCCCAUAUGGACUGGGUGCACCACCAGGGGCUAUGCUCGUGCAUGUAUUCCUCUCUCUGGUCUGGAUGGUCGAUUAAUGCACUGUAUAAGGCUUUUUGUCGUUCUUUGUUCAAAUUAUCUUUGGUGCGGACGACGCACUUCUGCCAUAAUAGUGUCUGUAUCACUAAAGCUUGCGCGUCCUCCCAUCUAUAUUUUUUUUGCAAAUAAAACAACAAUAAUAAUGUUAAAACGGUACUAUUAACAUAUAAUCCAACACUACUAAACAAUUUUAGUUUAAUAAUUAUAUUAUCUAUCAUAAUUAAAAAAAACAUACCUGAAAUUCAGCCCAAACUGCAUCCUUGUGGGCAAUAGGUGUGCUCGCCCACGUAAUCAUAUGUGUGGGCCAGUUCUAUAAGCACAGCUGUGAAAUGCAC
rnacentral:lncRNA from 1 species